CCUACGGGGGGCUGCAGUGGGGAAUAUUGGACAAUGGGGGGAACCCUGAUCCAGCCAUGUCGCGUGUGUGAAGAAGGCCCUCGGGUUGUAAAGCACUUUCAGUGAGGAAUAACGCCUGGUGGGUAAGACCCAUCAGGAAAGACAUCACUCACAGAAGAAGCACCGGCUAACUCCGUGCCAGCAGCCGCGGUAAUACGGAGGGUGCGAGCGUUAAUCGGAAUUACUGGGCGUAAAGCGCGCGUAGGUGGCUUGAUAAGCCGGUUGUGAAAGCCCCGGGCUCAACCUGGGAACGGCAUCCGGAACUGUCAAGCUAGAGUGCAGGAGAGGAAGGUAGAAUUCCCGGUGUAGCGGUGAAAUGCGUAGAGAUCGGGAGGAAUACCAGUGGCGAAGGCGGCCUUCUGGACUGACACUGACACUGAGGUGCGAAAGCGUGGGUAGCAAACAGGAUUAGAUACCCGUGUAGUC
rnacentral:rRNA from 1 species